ensembl:piRNA 21ur-5771 ncRNA
UAGACUUACAAAAAACUCAUA